rnacentral:lncRNA from 1 species
CUAUUUAUUACAUUAAAAGAAGGAAAAAUAUGGCUGCAAUUCUCAAGUUUAUAUAUGCAAUGUUCCUAUUUAUUUCUUUAUUCCUUUUUGCAACGAACAUUGACGGUAAGCUAUUUUUUUACCCUUCAAAUUUCCUUCUAUACUUCUUAUUUGUACACAAUGUUUUGUAUACAUUUAGUAAUAUUAUUUUAUUCUAUUUUUUUAUAGCUGCACUUGUUGAAUGUCGUUCUGAUAAAGAAUGUCAAAAUAUGGUUGCUCCUCAUUGUGUUAUGAAGUGUAUUAAUAAUCGGUGUAAAUGUUUCAUAUGAUACCAUGAGUACAAAUCUAAGAGACUACACAAUUGCCUUGAAUUGAUGAAUAAGUUAUCAAGCUAGCAAAAGACCUAUAUGCAAUAUCCCUUCUCUACUAUAUUCUAUCGUGUUGUCAUUUAAAUAUUAUGGUGCUACCAAGUAAAUGUAUUUUAUAUUUAUUUAAUUUUUUCUAUUUUUCAUGAACCUUGCAAUUAGUUUUUGUACUAUGACAAUU